GACGAACGCUGGCGGCGUGCUUAACACAUGCAAGUGGGAGCGACGAACCAGGCUUCGGCCGUGGGGCAGAGCCGCGAACCGGGUGAGUAACACGUGGGUAACGUGCCCCAAUGACUGGGCAACCCGAGGAAACUCGGGCUAAUACCGGAUAUGCCCCCUCACGAGAGUGAGGUGUGUAAAGGAAGCUUCGGCCUCCGCAUUGGGAGUCGGCCCGGCGGCCGCAUUAGCCUGGUUGGUGGGGAACGGCCUACCAAGGCAACGAUGCGUAGACUGGUCUGAGAGGACGAUCAGCCACACUGGGACUGAGACGACGGCCCAGACUCCUACGGGAGGCAGCAGUGGGGAAUCUUGC
rnacentral:rRNA from 1 species